GCUAGGUGGGCAGGAGCUGGGACCGAACGAUGGGAGCUCUCCCCGCCGCGGGGAUUCGAAAGAUUAAAAAUACAUUAAAAUGUCACACAUUAAAAACUUCCCUGAACAGGGCUGCCUUCAGAUGUCUUCUAAAUGUCAGGUAGUUGUUUAUCUCUUUGACAUCUGAUGGGAGGGUGUUCCACAGGGCGGGCGCCACUACCGAAAAGGCCCUCUGCCUGGUUCCCUGUAGCUUUGCAUGUCGCAGUGAGGGAACCGCUAGAAGGCCCUCUGCGCUGGACCUCAGUGUCCAGGCAGAACAAUGGAGGUGGAGACGCUCCUUCAGGUAUACUGGACCGAGGCCUUUUAGGGAUUUAAAGGUCAGCACCAACACUUUAAAUUGUGCUUGGAAAUGUACUGGGAGCCAAUGUAGGUCUUUCAGAACCAGUGUUAUAUGGUCUCAGCGGCCGCCCCCGGUCACCAGUCUAGCUGCUGCAUUCUGGAUUAGUUGUAGUUUCCGGGUCACCUUCAAAGGUAGCCCCAGGUAGAGCGCACUGCAGUAGUCCAAGCGGGAGAUAACCAGAGCAUGCACCACUCUGGCGAGACAGUCCGCGGGCAGGUAGGGUCUCAGCCUGCGUACCAGAUGGAGCUGGUAGACAGCUGCCCUGGACACAGAAUUGAGCAUUGAUGUGCCUUCUGUGUUGAGCAAAGGAGAGAUACAAAGAGCACUCUCUGAGAAAAUGUGGCCGUGGUCAACGAAGGAGCCUUUUCUAGUUGGGGGGGGGGGCAAACAUGAUCACCCCAUCUUGUGAUCUUCUGCUGUUUGAUGUGGCAGCCAUCUGCUAUGCCCCCUGGGACUGGCACUCGUGGCACUGUCUCAAAAUUCCAAAUGUGUUCACUGCUUCAAUGUAAAUCUCUCCCCCCCACCCCUUGCUUGGCUUGCCCUGUGGAAAGAUAACUGCCCAAGUAGGAGAAGUGACCCACAUUUUCCAAUGUUACAUCACUGAGUUGUCUUUGUGGCGCUGCAGAGGGUUUGUUUUGUGCUUGGUGGUGCAGCGAAAUAAGGCACAACACACUAAACUAAACUUCCAACUCUGGAAGGAGCAUUUUUCAACUAAGUAAGUUUCAACAAGGGACGCGGGUGAUGCUGUGAGUUAAACCACAGAGCCUAGGGCUUGCCCAUCAGAAGGUCGGCGAUUCGAAUCCCCGCGAUGGGGUGAGCUCCCGUUGCUCGGUCCCUGCUCCUACAAACCUAGCAGUUUGAAAGCACGUCAAAGUGCAAGUAGAUAAAUAGGUACCGCCCCAGCGGGAAGGUAGACGGCGUUUCCAUGCACUGCUCUGGUUCGCCAGAAGCGGCUUAGUCAUGCUGGCCACAUGACCUGGAAGCUGUACGCCGGCUCCCUCGGCCAAUUAAGCGAGAUGAGCGCCGCAACCCCAGAGUCGGCCACGACUGGACCUAAUGGUCGGGGGUCCCUUUACCUUUACCUAAGUUUCAUGAAAAGUUUUCCAAAGUCCAGGGCUUCCUGGUGCUGACUCACAAAGGUAUGCUGGCACAAUUCUUUCCACUGCCUGGCUGCACAUUGCCACGACUAAGCUGUGUGAUUUGUAAAAUGUGUACACUGCAACAUUGUCUCAAAUAUCCCCCUCUUCAUUUCACGUCUCAUUUGGGAGCUUGCAUCCUCAUGGCAAGGGAGAGACCAACCUCGCUCUGUUGAUGCACCGGAGAAAGAACAGCUUGCUUUCCUCUUCCCUCCCCUUUCCUUUUUCCUUUUGUGUUGCGCCUGUUAGAUUUUUGAAGCUCUGGGACGAGACAGACACACAUCCUUUAGAAACCUUGAGAAGCUUGAUAGGGGUUGUUAGAAGAAAAAACAACCUUCCCAUAGCACCUGCUAAUGGUUGUUUGCACAAAAACAUUACACAACAACUGUAGGCAACUAUAUGGUCUGUCGCAAGGUGGUGCUGUUCCUCCCUUUUGAAAAGUUCUCUUGGGGAAAGCAUGAUCAUGCAUUUCCCUUAAAACUGACAGGCGAACACUGCAAAUCUGUACCUGUGGAAAAUUGUCAUUUAUCUCAACUUGCCAGUAUUUAUCCCAAUCAAAUUAUCUCUAGCUUUAUUGAUGGACAGAACGGGGAUUGAGAGUCUGGUGCAGAAAAUAAAAUGGAUGUUGAUAUUAGAAGCACCGGUUGUUUUUCAAUCUGUUUGCAAAUGAAUAUUAAAAUAAGAAAAUUUAACCGCAGACAUUUGUUGUGCAAUAUACCAAAAUUGUUAACUCUCAGACAUCCUGCAGCAGAGAUAUAGUGCUUGCUAUAAGAAAUUCAGCUUACAAAUGUCCUAUUAAUUGUCAUCAUUUUUAUUAGGGGCUGUGCAUUCUGAGUAAUUAAGAAGAAUACGAAAGCUGUUUUGGCUACAGAGAUCAGCAAGCAACGGUCACAGUGUGGGACAGUUGUUAAAAUCUGGGUUUCCCUCUUGGUGUAUAUACGCGGUUACCAAACUGGAGACGGACCCUUUUGUGGGGGAGGUUUGAAAACAUAUUUUUAAAAUGCCACAGCGCUAAUGCAAAUACAGCCCAUUAUUUCCAUAUUGUGUGUUCUGUGGCUGAAAGAGAAUGGCUCGUGGCAGCCUUACAAUGUAGCUCAGCAUUAAAUAAUGGUAAGAGAUUUUACGGGGAGGGGGACCCAAAAUAAAAUCAAAAGAAAACUGAAGGAGCCAAGUUACAGAUUGCUUGCAAUAUCACCAGAUACACAGCAUGUUUUAAUUAGAUAGAAAGAAUGGAUUUCUGGACCAAAGCUAACAAUUUGAAAAAGUACUCUUACAAAAUAAAGAUAAACUUCUGUCUAAAAUGUAUAAUUUUUUUUACUAGAAUGGGAAACAAAAGACGAGCUUGCAAAAUAUAUUGAUGUUGAUUAUGUAUUUUGUGGUUUUAUAUUUUGAUUUUGUUCUGUGAACCGCCCUUAGACCUCCGGGUACAGGGCACUAUAUAAAUUCAAAAAAUAAUAAUAAAAAAGAAGUUUGUUUCCAUAUAGAAACAGGCUGUCACUUCCAAAGAGAGCUUUGGCAAUAGGCGAGAAACCUUUUAUGAAAAAAUUAACAAACACCCAUAUUCUAGAGAUUACAGAAACAUCUGUGCUAAGGUUAUAUGUCCUCCCCACAAACUGGAGUAUUUUUGCAUUUCCCAAAUACACAUUAUAUUCCCUGGUUAUGAUUAUGACUCAGAUAAGCAUAUGGCGACAGGAAAUAAUCAACCAUCAUGCCUUCCAGAAGUAUUUACUCAUUCCGAUGGCUUAACCCAACUGUGCAUACUGAAAAGCUUCCAAUUGCUUUUCUAACCACAAAGCAGCCUUUGCAGAACUCCAGCUGAGAUGAUUUAAAUAAGCGAGGCUUUUCUGAGCGGCCAAUAAACGUGCGAUUUCAAAUGUCUCUCUGAGCAACACUGUAGAGUUCUGCUAAGACAAAUAACCUUGCAAAAAGCUCUUCCAAUUCGGAAAGAAACAGUGACUCACAUUUGGAGGUGGGCUUAGCCCAGGGAUCUGAAAUCCUCAGGCAAAGUGCCGUUUUCUCAUUGGCGAGAAGAAGAAUCUGUACCAAAUGAAAACUUCAAUGUGUGUGCCAGAGAUUCGACAGAUCAGCAGCACAGCUCAGCAGAACCUCUGGCAAGCCAGAUGUUGUUGGACUUAAACUCAUAUCCAAUCCAGCCAAUAUGGGAGUUGCAGAGCAGCCACAUCUGGCGGGGCAGAGGUUGCUGAUCCCUGUAUUAAAUCUUUGUAAUUUCAACCCCUGUCUUACCUUUGCCACUUUUGUUCACUAUCAAAAUGGUUUGUUCAUCCGACUGGGCCUUAUUUACAUUGGUCCAUUAACUUCCUUGUCUGUGCUAUAGAUUUUGCUUCUCUCUCUAUAUGAUUUAUUAUUAUUAUUAUUAAAUUUUCUGAUUUAUAUUUCAAAAUAAACAUUUUACAAAUUUUAAAAUAUCCAGUGACUUCUUCUCUUUCCAUGGUUCAUUUUACAUAUCAUAAAUCCCUGCAUAUUUUGCAAAAACUAUAACAUUCAGUAUUCCAUUAUUGUACCCAUCCAAACUUGUUUACGCUGUUGAAUUUAUCUUAAUGCUGCCAGCGUUUAGCUGUACACAAUUAUUUCCCCUAUAUUCAAUAAACGUUUUCC